rnacentral:rRNA from 1 species
AUUGAACGCUGGCGGCAUGCCUUACACAUGCAAGUCGAACGGUAACGGGCCUUCGGGUGCCGACGAGUGGCGAACGGGUGCGUAAUACAUCGGAACGUGCCCGAUCGUGGGGGAUAACGAGGCGAAAGCUUUGCUAAUAUCCCCUACGAUCUACGGCUGACAGCCGGGGACCGCAAGGCCUUGCGCGGACGGACCGGCCGAUGGCGGAUUAGGUAGUUGGUGGGAUAAAAGCUUACCAAGCCGACGAUCUGUAGCUGGUCUGAGAGGAUGAUCAGCCACACUGGGACUGAGACACGGCCCAGACUCCUACGGGAGGCAGCAGUGGGGAAUUUUGGACAAUGGGCGCAAGCCUGAUCCAGCCAUGCCGCGUGCAGGAUGAAGGCCUUCGGGUUGUAAACUGCUUUUAUACGGAACGAAAAGCCUUCUUUUAAUACAGGAGGGUCAUGACGGUACCGUAAGAAUAAGCACCGGCUAACUACGUG